rnacentral:rRNA from 1 species
GGGCCCGCACAAGCGGUGGAGUAUGUGGUUUAAUUCGACGCAACGCGAAGAACCUUACCAGGGCUUGACAUUGAGUGAAAAGUCAAGAGAUUGACUCCUGUCUUCGGACACACGAAAACAGGUGGUGCAUGGCUGUCGUCAGCUCGUGUCGUGAGAUGUUGGGUUAAGUCCCGCAACGAGCGCAACCCUUAUCCUAUGUUGCCAGCGAGUAAAGUCGGGAACUCAUGGGAGACUGCCGCAGACAAUGCGGAGGAAGGCGGGGAUGACGUCAAGUCAUCAUGCCCCUUAUGUCCUGGGCUACACACGUACUACAAUGGGCCAGAAUAGAGGGAAGCGAAGGAGUGAUCCGGAGCGAACCCCAGAAAAUGGCUCUCAGUUCGGAUCGUAGGCUGCAACUCGCCUACGUGAAGUCGGAAUCGCUAGUAAUCGCAGGUCAGCAUACUGCGGUGAAUACGUUCCCGGGCCUU